rnacentral:rRNA from 1 species
UUACCUGGCCUUGACAUACUAAGAACUUUCCAGGGAUGGAUUGGUGCCUUCGGGAACUUAGAUACAGGUGCUGCAUGGCUGUCGUCAGCUCGUGUCGUGAGAUGUUGGGUUAAGUCCGCAACGAGCGCAACCCUUUUCCUUAUUUGCCAGCGGGUCAUGCCGGGAACUUUAAGGAUACUGCCAGUGACAAACUGGAGGAAGGCGGGGACGACGUCAAGUCAUCAUGGCCCUUACGGCCAGGGCUACACACGUGCUACAAUGGUCGGUACAAAGGGUUGCUACCUCGCGAGAGGAUGCUAAUCUCAAAAAGCCGAUCGUAGUCCGGGUCGCAGUCUGCAACUCGACUGCGUGAAGUCGGAAUCGCUAGUAAUCGCGGAUCAGAAUGCCGCGGUGAAUACGUUCCCGGGCCUUGUACACACCGCCCGUCACACCAUGGGAGUUUGUUGCACCAGAAGUAGGUAGUCUAACCGCAAGGAGGACGCUUACCACGGUGUGGCCGAUGACUGGGGUGAAGUCGUAACAAGGUAAGCGUAGAUGA